ACCUUCGGCUAGCAAGGUGCCUGAGAGCUGUAACUGCGCCAAGGGUUAACAUAAUGUGUGUUGUCUCUUCGUGUGCAGCUAGCAGAGCCAAGCAUUUGCUGGUGUACAUCAACCCUUAUGGGGGCAAGCAGCAAGUGCAUUUAUGAGCAGAAAGUCUCGCCUCUCUUCGCCUGUGCCUCCAUCUCCACGGAUGUGAUUGGUGAGUGCCUGCCAAAGACAUUAAACAUGAUUUAAUAAUAGAUGAGUCUUUAUGGGCCAAGUCAAAUUGUUCACUCUAGGCAAAUGGGCACAAGCUCUCUCAGGCCGCACAGGAAUAUGACAUCAUUUACGGCCGCCAUCUAUCAUCCUAGUUCCUCAUUGGAAAGGAUGAUGGUCGUUGAAUACUGGAUUCCUUUACAUCCCGUUUACUUCUCAGACUAGCGAAAGACUGUGAACAUUUGUCAAAGUCAUAUAUUUUGACGAAUUGCA